GCGGGCCGGGCCGGGCCGGGCCGGGCCGGGCCGGGCCGGGCCGAGGGCUGCCGCCCUGCGUCCGUUAGGCGCUGCGGGGAGCGGGGGGGCGAGUGGCGGCGGCUUAGGGCCUGGCCCUGGGCCCGCGCCAGCAGCGCCGGUGGAAGGGCGCCUGAAACGGACGGCACGCCUCGGCGGAUAAAACAAAAAAAUAGUUUUUUUUUUUUUUUGAUUGUUUGGAAAUUAUUUCGGAUGUUUUAUUCAUGAAAACAGAAAUGCUUAACUGCAGCUUGCUUAGAAGUUCCACGGUGUGACCUACCCGUAAGGGCAGGGCCUAAUCCACAGUCGAGAGCCUAAUCCACUGAAGCUGGUGGUUCACAAGCAAAGCUUGACUAAGGAUGGCUGGAGAGAGCUGGACAUGGAUCAUGUGUUGUCACUGUUGGCCCCAUGCCAGCAGCUGCUAGGACAUCUACUGCGGCAGACAACCCUGCUACCUCAGCUGCCUGCCAUGUAUUUUGGAGGUGCAGCAGGUAAUCCAGACUCUCCGUGAAUAAUACAAUUAAAGCACGGUAUAAAGACAUGAUGUGCCUGGACAGGAUCCAUUGGAAAUGCUUGAGUGAUUUCUUUCAUGGAUACUAUAACAUCCUGUUGUCUUUGGAGGCAAAAGCUUCUGUUAGAGAUACAUGCCAUCCUUAUAAAUAUUAAUGUCCAGCUCGCAGAAGCAAGGUACAGAGGAAGUAGCCUGGACCUGGAAUAGCUGAGAGCUGCAGGCAGCAGUUGAAGUGAAUGAAGAAGGCUGUACAGGGAAGUUUGCAGCAUUCCUCAUCACACUCAUCAUGGUUCCCUUUGAUGCUACCAAUUUCUCUGCUGUUGCAGACCUGCUGUGGGACCUGUGCACCGUGAGCCUCUGCCAUGUGUGCCAGCAGACUCUGCUGGGACUGGGAGAAAGAACACCUAUUCCCUGGAGUCUUCCUCUUCUGGGGUAGUGGCUUCUCAUGCCUACAAGCUUGGCCCUUUCCUGCCCACAAAUAGGCACAACUUUGUUUUCAUCAAACAGUAACCGUUCCCAAGACCCAAAGUUGGUCACUAUUUUGCCUUGCCUCUGUCCUGAUUGUAUCUGGAAGUCUGCUGGGACUGGAGUCUGCUUCUAAUAAGGCGCUUCCCAUUUCAGUGUUCUCCUUCAGCAUUCAUCACCAGUUUGCUGGUGGCAGCUCACUUUUUUUGGCUGUCUUCAGAUAUUUGAUAGUCUAAAUACAGACUUUGGUCUGGCUUUGAAAUAUUUUAGCAGACACUUUUUUUAUAUUGACAUUCUUUCCCACCAUUUUUUGGGGCCUCAGUAGAGAUAUGUCUAAACUCAUAUAUCAUUCAACUGUACCAUUUAGACUGCAGCCCACUGUCAGUGACUAUGGCAGGAUCCCAUAACUUGUGAGGUUAGAGAGACCAUUUGUUUGGUCACACUGUAUUUGUGAAAGUUAUUUCAGGGAAGUGAACUGUCUAAAGUAAGUAAAGAGAUUUUUCAGUCUAAGUUCCUUUAUUAAAAAAAAAAAAAAUCUCUACUGCUGGUUGGUGUUCCAGGGAGCAGUGUUGUAGUAUUGGUUUAUCUAAUAUUUUGGGGGGGUUGAAAGUUAUCCUAGUC